rnacentral:Y_RNA from 1 species
AACUGGUCCAAAGGUAGUAAGUUAUCUCGAUUAUUCACAGUUACAGAUUAAACUCUUGUUCUAUUCUUUCCCCCUUCUAACUACUACACUUGACUAGUCUUAA